rfam:Ovis aries breed Texel chromosome 13, whole genome shotgun sequence.
UCCCUGGUAGUUCAGUGGUAAAGACUCAGCACUUUAACUGCUGUGGGCCUGGGUUCAAUCCCUGGUUGGGGAA